rnacentral:rRNA from 1 species
AUACGGAGGGUGCAAGCGUUAUUCGGAAUCACUGGGCGUAAAGGACGCGUAGGCGGGUUGGCAAGUCAGAUGUGAAAUCCUACAGCUUAACUGUAGAACUGCAUUUGAAACUGCUAACCUAGAGUAUGGGAGGGGGAGAUGGAAUUAGUGGUGUAGGGGUAAAAUCCGUAGAUAUCUCUAGGAAUACCGAAAGCGAAGGCGAUCUCCUGGAACAUAACUGACGCUAAGGCGUGAAAGCGUGGGGAGCAAACAGGAUUAGAUACCCUAGUAGUCC